GACGAACGCUGGCGGCGUGCUUAACACAUGCAAGUCGAACGGGAGUACUUUGAAAGCUUGCUGAUAAGUACUUUAGUGGCGGACGGGUGAGUAACGCGUGAGGAGCUGUCUUAUGCAGGGGGACAACAGUUGGAAACGGCUGCUAAUACCCCAUAAGCCGAGAGGUAAAAGGAGCAAUCCGGCAGAGGAGGUACUCGCGUCCUAUCAGCUAGUAGGUUGGGUAACGGCCGACCUAGGCGAAGACGGGUAGCCGGCCUGAGAGGGCGAACGGCCACACUGGAACUGAGAUACGGUCCAGACUCCUACGGGAGGCAGCAGUGGGGAAUAUUGGGCAAUGGGGGGCAACCCUGACCCAGCGACGCCGCGUGGGUGAAGAAAUCCUUCGGGAUGUAAAGCCCUGUUGCCCGGGACGAAUGCCUGUUUCGACAGGAGUGACGGUACCGGGUGAGGAAGCACCGGCUAACUCUGUGCCAGCAGCCGCGGUAAU
rnacentral:rRNA from 1 species